rnacentral:rRNA from 1 species
GGCGAACGGGUGAGUAAUGCAUCGGAACGUGUCCCGUAGUGGGGGAUAACCCAGCGAAAGCUGGGCUAAUACCGCAUAUGCUCUACGGAGGAAAGUGGGGGACCGCAAGGCCUCACGCUAUGGGAGCGGCCGAUGUCCGAUUAGCUUGUUGGUGGGGUAAUGGCCUACCAAGGCGACGAUCGGUAGCUGGUCUGAGAGGAUGAUCAGCCACACUGGGACUGAGACACGGCCCAGACUCCUACGGGAGGCAGCAGUGGGGAAUUUUGGACAAUGGGGGCAACCCUGAUCCAGCCAUGCCGCGUGAGUGAAGAAGGCCUUCGGGUUGUAAAGCUCUUUUGGUCGGGAAGAAAAGGUCUCCUCUAAUACAGGGGGCUGUUGACGGUACCGGCAGAAUAAGCACCGGCUAACUACGUGCCAGCAGCCGCGGUAAUACGUAGGGUGCGAGCGUUAAUCGGAAUUACUGGGCGUAAAGCGUGCGCAGGCGGUUGGUUAAGUCUGAUGUGAAAGCCCCGGGCUCAACCUGGGAAUGGCAUUGGAAACUGGCCAGCUGGAGUAUGGCA